rnacentral:rRNA from 1 species
CAGCAGCCGCGGGAAUACGUAGGUGGCAAGCGUUGUCCGGAAUUAUUGGGCGUAAAGGGCUCGCAGGCGGUUUCUUAAGUCUGAUGUGAAAGCCCCCGGCUCAACCGGGGAGGGUCAUUGGAAACUGGGAAACUUGAGUGCAGAAGAGGAGAGUGGAAUUCCACGUGUAGCGGUGAAAUGCGUAGAGAUGUGGAGGAACACCAGUGGCGAAGGCGACUCUCUGGUCUGUAACUGACGCUGAGGAGCGAAAGCGUGGGGAGCGAACAGGAUUAGAUACCCGGGUAGUCCCUGUCUCUUAUAA